rnacentral:rRNA from 1 species
UACAGAGGUGGCAAGCGUUGUUCGGAAUUACUGGGCGUAAAGGGCGCGUAGGCGGCCAUCUAAGUCAGACGUGAAAUCCCUCGGGCUUAACCGGGGAACUGCGUCUGAUACUGGAUGGCUUGAGUUUGGGAGAGGGACGCGGAAUUCCAGGUGUAGCGGUAGAAAUGCGUAGAUAUCUGGAGGAACACCGGUGGCGAAGGCGGCGUCCUGGACCAACACUGACACUGAUGAGCGAAAGCCAGGGGAGCAAACGGG